rnacentral:rRNA from 1 species
UUGCAGAAUUCCGCGAAUCAUCGAGUUUUUGAACGCAAGUUGCGCCCGAGGCUUGACCAAGGGCAUCUC